rnacentral:rRNA from 1 species
AGGCCUACGGGGGGCAGCAGUGAGGAAUAUUGGUCAAUGGGAGAGAUCCUGAACCAGCCAAGCCGCGUGAGGGAAGACGGCCCGAUGGGUUGUAAACCUCUUUUGUCGGAGAACAAAACCCGGGACGUGUCCCGGACUGCGUGUAUCCGAAGAAAAAGCAUCGGCUAACUCCGUGCCAGCAGCCGCGGUAAUACGGAGGAUGCGAGCGUUAUCCGGAUUUAUUGGGUUUAAAGGGUGCGUAGGCGGACGCUUAAGUCAGCGGUACAAUUGCGGGGCUCAACCUCGUCGAGCCGUUGAAACUGGGG